CUGAUAAGCGCAUUCUUUGUGCGCGGGUGGAUGCGCUCGUCACGUGCGUGGCGCACUCUCUUUGCAGUGAAGCACAGGAAGGUUGCAGGUAAGUCCCCAAAUAGACUACACAAAAAGUGAGGGAAAAAAGCCUUUCCCCUAAACCCUUUCAACUGACUCUGGAGGCACAGCGUCAUGACCUUGGGCAACGUGACGCAUCCAACGCACUGGAGUACUUCCGCUAACCAGAUCCUGCUGUUCCGCUGACGGUCUACCCGAGGAUACACUUUAUACAGCUGAACCACAAUCCGAAGAUGUGGCAGAGUGGUAAUCUGAAGUCUCCUGGCUUAGUGAGUCCAGCGAGGACACAUCCAGGCACCCGGUGACUCACCUUGCAGACACCUCCAGCGGAUCAAUCCACAGAGUCAUCUCGGAUGGAAAUCCCAGGCUGGUGGGCAUGAUGUUAGUCUCUUUGCAGGCCUGCAACACCACUUCAUCACAGGGAAAAAGUCACUCACUGACCACUGUGUAAAUGUUUAAACAGCGAUGAUUACCUAAAUGCUUGGCCUUUGCUGGGACAGUCGGGGUACC